AUUGAACGCUGGCGGCAGGCCUAACACAUGCAAGUCGAACGAGUGGCGGACGGGUGAGUAAUGUCUGGAAAACUGCCUGAUGGAGGGGGAUAACUACUGGAACCGGUAGCUAAUACCGCAUACCCUCAGAUGUGCCCAGAUGGGAUUAGCUUGUUGGUGGGGUAACGGCUCACCAAGGCGACGAUCCCUAGCUGGUCUGAGAGGAGGACCAGCCACACUGGAAAGGAGACAAGGUCCAGACUCCUACGGGAGGCAGCAGUGGGGAAUAUGGCACAAUGGGCGCAAGCCUGAUGCAGCCAUGCCGCGUGUGUGAAGAAGGCCUUCGGGUUGUAAAGUACUUUCAGCGGGGAGGCGUUACCCGCAGAAGAAGCACCGGCUAACUCCGUGCCAGCAGCCGCGGUAAUUC
rnacentral:rRNA from 1 species